ACCAGGGGAGGUAGGACUGUAUGCAGGAGAAGUGGGACUAUAUGAUGGAGAAGUUGGACUAUAACUUGGUGAGGUGGGGCUAUAUGAAGGCGAGGUGGGGCUGUAAGAAGGUGAGGUGGGGCUGUAUGAAGGUGAAGUGGGGCUGUAAGAUGGAGAAGUGGGGCUGUAAGAUGGAGAAGUGGGGCUGUAGGCAGGCGAAGUGGGGCUGUAGGCAGGCGAAGUGGGACUGUAGGCAGGCGAAGUGGGGCUGUAGCUAGGCGAUGUUGGGCUAUAACUAGGAGAUGUAGGGCUAUAGCUCGGAGAUGUUGG
rnacentral:lncRNA from 1 species